GACUGAAUGAUGAAUUUGGAUUUAUAUUUUCUCAUGACGGUCGUCUGAGACUCACUUUGAUGAAAUGAUCCCAAAAUUCUGACAAUC